rnacentral:lncRNA from 1 species
UAAUAAUAAGUAUGUGGUAUAUACAUACAAUGAAAUAUUAUUCCACUAUAAUGAGGAAUGAUUACUAACACAAGCUACCAUGUGGAUGAACCUCUAAAACAUUAUGCCAAGUGAAAGAAGCUAGACACAAAAGGCCACAUAUUGUAUAAUUCCUUUUAUAUAAAAAGUCUAGAAGAAAUAAGUCCAUAGAGACAAAAUGCAGAGUGGUGGUUGACAGGGCCUUGGAGGAGGAGGUGGAAAUGAGAAACUGUUUGAUGUGUAAUGGAUUUUACUUUGGAGUGAUGGAAAUGUUUUGAAACUAGACAUAGGUUGUUGUUGCACAGCACUGUAAGUGUACCAAGUGCCACUGAAUUGUCCUUUUAAAAUUCAUUAUGAAUUUCAUGUCAACAAAUUAUUUUUAAAAUGAAGGGGUAUAAAUGACAAAAACGAAAGCCAUUGUGAGAUCAAGGAAGAUAUGGACUGAAAAGUUUCCAUUUGCUUUAAAGAGAUCUGUUGGUGGUGUAGUAGGAAGAGGCCAGAUUGCAGUGGGUUGAAGAAUGAGUAGGCUGUUGAGAAGUGGAGAUAUUAAGCAUUGAAUCUGAAGAAAUUUGGCUGUAAAGAGAAAGAAGAAAGGUAAAUUUCUAGCUGAAGAUUGAUGUGCCAUCCAGAGUUUUUUUUAUUGUUUUUAAGAUGAGGUGACUCUACCAUUUUUAACUGUUCACAGGAGUUAUGUGGUGGAAAGCGGCAGGCUGGAGUUAUGCAGCUCACUUUCUAGCCAGAAGGAAGGAUACUGAAUGGAGGCACAUUGCUAAGUUAGGUGAUGGUGAGGAAAUACAGACUCAGAGGGGUUGAAACGUGUUAGAGUCUGCAUAGGCUUUCUGACUCUGGGGAUGUGUUUUGGAACAUCUGCGUGAGACAUUAAGAAGUAUAAUUGAUUAAAUGACUAUAUGUGGAACUUACCAGAAUAUAAGCUGGAGAGACGAAAACAACUCCUCACCUCUGCAGAAGGCUGCAUCUAUUGCACACAGAUGAGAAAAUAGAGGUUUCCCUGAAAUCACA